UACGUAGGGUGCGAGCGUUGUCCGGAAUUAUUGGGCGUAAAGAGCUCGUAGGCGGUGUGUCGCGUCGGUCGUGAAAACUUGGGGCUUAACCCUGAGCUUGCGGUCGAUACGGGCAUCACUGGAGUUCGGCAGGGGAGACUGGAAUUCCUGGUGUAGCGGUGAAAUGCGCAGAUAUCAGGAGGAACACCGGUGGCGAAGGCGGGUCUCUGGGCCGAUACUGACGCUGAGGAGCGAAAGCGUGGGGGAGCGAACAGG
rnacentral:rRNA from 1 species